rnacentral:piRNA from 1 species
UGCCCUUGAUAUUGCCGUUUCUCCUG